UCGGGAGGAGAAGCCGGUAUGAGGGGAGUUGAAGCGGAGACUCAGGACGCAGCGUUAUGUGGGCUAGAUUGUGAAAUUUAGGACGUAAGACUAAUGGUGUCGUGUUGAAGUUGAGUAAUUAUACUGUUAAUGAUUUCUCUAACACUCUGUUGAGUUGUCUUGAGUAGGUUACGAUUAGAUAUUUCAGCUGGGUCGAGCUUUAGCUCUUUGAUGUCAGGAGUGAUUUGAGGUUAAGGUGUGGCUUUCAGCAAAAGGACGAAUUACUUAAAUUGUAGCGGAGCUGAAAUUUAAUUCUUCGAUAUGUAGCGUUUAUUUACAGCUGGAGUGGGCGAGAGAGACUGGAAAUGGGAUCGGGACAUGACCCAGGUCAGAAUCGAACUUGAGUUCCCAAUGCUUUUAAAUGUCGUUUGUGCGCUGCCUUGUGCGCCAGAACUGCGCCUGCAAUGGAAUCACAAGCGUUUUAACGCUUUUCGCGAGGAUUUCAUAAGCAUGUCACCGGUGAGAUAUUUAAAUCCAGGAAGCGUUCGAUUACACAACGGAGUCUAAUCGUUCGAUGGCCGUUGCAACAUUCGUUCGAACUUUUCGGAAGUGUGUGAACCCACUUCAGAACGAAUGGAAUCUGUUACAUUCCAUUGGAAGAGAUCGCGAGAACGCUCGGUUCAGAGUUGAACCGCACAGGGCGUGAGCCGUCCGCUAGUAGACAGUCUGUAGGCAGUAUGAGGGGGGGAAAAAAACCAUUGCGAAAAUAAAGGAUGUUACGCCAAUUUUAUGUGAUAUAUGGGGAGUCAAACCGCUUACCAGCGUGACAUACGAAUCGAUCGUCGAGAGAAAUCGAGAAUUCUACCAGAGAACCUAACAUCUGGAGUGGAGACGUCCGUUUCAUACCAGUAUCAACAGUAUGUCAUUAAAUGGAUUUCUUCUUACGUCUGAAUGACGUCGGACUGCUGAAGGCAGCCAAGCUAGUUCACCUCAGCAGUACAGAGUGUGAGCUGGCCCAGCUCUGUGGGAGGGUGGAGUCAGUCCAGCACAGCGUAUCUCAGACAGCAUGGAGGCCCUCUGCAGACAGAAUGGAAUUUAUACCAUAUGUACCAGGCAUCCCAAGAAUGCAUGGCACAGAGACUUGACCAACGGAAAAAGAACUGCAGAAAGCGCAAUGGAAAGGAUCCUGUCACACCCUAUUCCCACAUUUUCUGCGGAGCUUUGGGAACAGUCUCCGGGAAGCCCACUGGCUGACCUGCAGCAGUUCUUCACUGGCAAGCUUUAUGUCCUUGUGUACCAGCUAAAGCUGCCAGCUGAAGAACUGUUGUGGUUGGCUCUUUCCUGGCACUUCAGCACAGAGAUGGCGAUGAAGAGGUAAACGGCAUCAUUCCAGACAGUCGAUGAGCCGUCUCAACCAAUCCCAGAUCAGACGGAUCCCAUUUUUGUCGUUCCCUCCAGCAGCCUGCUCACGUGAGCCGCCUGAGCUGGGCUAUUCGUUCUUCUCAGGCAUAAACAAUGGCUACGGUACGGGGUCCAUGCUGACUCAGCCACAUUCCUAGCCCGGUGAGGGUCCCUUGCCCUUAUUUGGGUGUGGAGCAGGACGGGAGUGGCAUUCUGUGCUCUCAACCGAGCUGACAGAGGUGGCCAUCUUGCUCUUCUGCUGUAGCAAAUGGUGGACCUGAUGUUUAGUGGGUGGAAACUUUGAGUACUACUCAAAGUAGUGUUCUUAUAGAUGUUUCCGUGCAUUCUGGAAAAGUGCCCAGGCUUUGACGUGUUAAAAGUCACUGAGAUCCUCCGGGGAACAACUGAUGAAAGACUGCAGAGCGUAUGCAACUUCCUCUUUCUCUUCCGAGGCCAUUCUAUGGCGUAAAUGUGAUCUUUUUUUGUGUGUGUGUUAGUGCUUGUGCGCAUCUAACCUUGGUCGCACACACUACAUACACAUCCUCGUCGCGUCAACUGACCUUACGCAAGCCGUAAACUCCUCAAGGCUGACUUCUUCAGCACAGAAAACAGGAUAUGAAAAUGCGUCCCUCUAAA